rnacentral:lncRNA from 1 species
UUGGUCACAAUUGGAAGGUAACAGCAAACAAUGUCAUUUAUGUUUUGAAACUGUAUUUGCAAGAUGAAAAUCUGACUAGGUAAUGAAAGUUCUAAAAUAAAUUCCUUUGUUACCUACUUCUAUACUAGAAUUGCACAAUGGUCUCUGCUGUUAUCAAAAGUAAAAAAACCUGUCUUUUCAUUUAAUAUCCUGUAUAUUAUGUUGAGAUUUAUUAAAUAUGGUGAUCAUAUAAACUUAUAUUAAAUGAAAUUGUUGGCAUAUAUAGUAGAUUAACUUUGUGAUUCAUCAGUGAAAUUGUCUUUACAUCCUUCAUGUUACUGAUUAUGGCUAUGCUGUUACUUUUUAUCAGGUAACAUGACAGAACGUAACAGAUAGGAAUUACAAAGUACUUUUAGUUCUUUUAUUAAAAUUGCGUGGAAGUUUGAAUUUGCCUCCAUCUACAUACUAAUUUAAUAAGAUACUAUAAAAACACAUUUACUGUUAUAGUGCUGACAAUGAAAUAUUCUCAGAUGGUACACAAAAAGGCUGUAACAGCACAGGCACUCGUUUCAGAAAAAAAAUUCCUAUACACUUUUAUGUUAUAUAAAGGUAUACAGGAUUUUUUUUU